CGAAUGCAAUCGCACAUAGUCAAUGCAGAACGAUAUGUAGAUAAGCCUAGGAGAAAACGAUGAGAAAUCCAUACGUAUACUCUGACCAGCUCUGCCAGCAGUCGCGGUAAUACGUGGAAGACUAGUGUUAUUCAUCUUUAUUAGGUUUAAAGGGUACCUAGACGGUAUUUCUAGCCCAAAGUAGGGUACGGAUUUACUAGAGUUUUAUGUGAGGAGGGGAGUACUCGUGGAGUAGAGAUGAAAUUUUGUUAUACUAUGAGGUAACUGGUGGCGGCGAAAGCAACCUUCUAUGUAUAAACUGACGUUGAGGGACGAAGGCUUGGGUAGCAAAUAGGAUUAGAUACCCUAGUAGUCCAAGCAGACAAUUCUGAAUGCCAUAGAUUAGAUUAUUUUUGGUCUAUAAAUGAAAGUGUAAGCAUUCCACCUUAGGAGUAAUGUGGCAACACAGGAACUGAAAUCAUUAGACCGUUUCUGAAACCAGUAGUGAAGUAUGUUAUUUAAAUUGAUGGUCCACAAAAAACCUUACCACAACUUGAAUAUUUUUUAAUUAAUACAAGCGUUGCACGGCUGUCUUCAGUUAAUGUCGUGAGAUUUUGGUUAACUCCAUUAAUUAACGUAAACCCUUACUUUAUUUAUUUUUUUUUAUAAAGUAGAUCGCCUAUAUAUUGGAUAUGAUAAGAGGGACUAAGACAAGUCAUCAUGGCCUUAAUGUUGUGGGC
rnacentral:rRNA from 1 species